rnacentral:tRNA from 1 species
UAAGAUCUUAGCUUAAUUAAAGCGCCUGAGUUGCAGUUAGGUGAUGCAGGUUGUAGUUUUGCAGGUCUUC